CAGUCGCCGCGGUAAUACGAAGGUCCCAAGCGUUGUUCGGAAUCACUGGGCGUAAAGGGAGCGUAGGCGGCGUGGUAAGUCAGAUGUGAAGUCCCGGGGCUCAACCCCGGAACUGCAUCCGAUACUGCCAUGCUUGAGGGUUGGAGAGGUAGCUGGAAUUCUCGGUGUAGCAGUGAAAUGCGUGGAUAUCGAGAGGAACACUCGUGGCGAAGGCGAGCUACUGGACAACAUCUGACGCUGAGGCUCGAAGGCUAGGGUAGCGAAAGGGAUUAGAUACCCCCGUAGUCCCUGUCUCUUAUAC
rnacentral:rRNA from 1 species